ACCCGUCUUGAAACACGGACCAAGGAGUCUAACAUGUGCGCAAGUCAUUGGGUUAAUGUUAAAACGAACAAGCCUAAAGGCGCAAUGAAAGUGAAGGUCGUCCAUAGCGUCGAUCGAGGGAGGAUGGCCCGGGCUCGCUCGGGUCCGCACUCCCGGGGCGUCUCACGGUCGUUUCGACCAGAGGCGCACCCAGAGCGUACACGUUGGGACCCGAAAGAUGGUGAACUAUGCCUGGUCAGGACGAAGUCAGGGGAAACCCUGAUGGAGGUCCGUAGCGAUUCUGACGUGCAAAUCGAUCGUCGGAACUGGGUAUAGGGGCGAAAGACUAAUCGAACCAUCUAGUAGCUGGUUCCCUCCGAAGUUUCCCUCAGGAUAGCUGGCACUCGCUCGAUAGCGAGUCUCAUCUGGUAAAGCGAAUGAUUAGAGGCCUUGGGGCCGAAACGACCUCAACCUAUUCUCAAACUUUAAAUGGGUGAGAUCUCUGGCUUGCUUGAAAGUUGAAGCCACGAGAUUCACGGAUCAGAGUGCCAAGUGGGCCAAUUUUGGUAAGCAGAACUGGCGCUGUGGGA
rnacentral:rRNA from 1 species